AAGGAUGGCUAAUACCGCAUAAUCCCUGAGGGGGAAAGCGGGGGCUCUUAGGACCUCGCGUUAAUUGAGCGGCCGAUGUUGGAUUAGCUAGUUGGUGGGGUAAAGGCCUACCAAGGCGACGAUCCAUAGCGGGUCUGAGAGGAUGAUCCGCCACAUUGGGACUGAGACACGGCCCAAACUCCUACGGGAGGCAGCAGUGGGGAAUUUUGGACAAUGGGGGGAACCCUGAUCCAGCCAUGCCGCGUGUCUGAAGAAGGCCUUCGGGUUGUAAAGGACUUUUGUUAGGGAAGAAAAGCUGGGUGAUAAUACCACCUGGUGCUGACGGUACCUAAAGAAUAAGCACCGGCUAACUACGUGCCAGCAGCCGCGGUAAUACGUAGGGUGCGAGCGUUAAUCGGAAUUACUGGGCGUAAAGCGAGCGCAGACGGUUAAAUAAGUCAGAUGUGAAAUCCCCGAGCUCAACUUGGGACGUGCAUUUGAAACUGUGUAACUAGAGUGUGUCAGAGGGAGGUAGAAUUCCACGUGUAGCAGUGAAAUGCGUAGAGAUGUGGAGGAAUACCGAUGGCGAAGGCAGCCUCCUGGGAUAACACUGACGUUCAUGCUCGAAAGCGUGGGUAGCAAACAGGAUUAGAUACCCUGGUAGUCCACGCCCUAAACGAUGACAAUUAGCUGUUGGGACACUAGAUGUCUUAGUAGCGAAGCUAACGCGUGAAAUUGUCCGCCUGGGGAGUACGGUCGCAAGAUUAAAACUCAAAGGAAUUGACGGGGACCCGCACAAGCGGUGGAUGAUGUGGAUUAAUUCGAUGCAACGCGAAGAACCUUACCUGGUCUUGACAUGUACGGGAUCUCUUAGAGAUAGGAGAGUGCCUUCGGGAACCGUAACACAGGUGCUGCAUGGCUGUCGUCAGCUCGUGUCGUGAGAUGUUGGGUUAAGUCCCGCAACGAGCGCAACCCUUGUCAUUAGUUGCCAUCAUUAAGUUGGGCACUCUAAUGAGACUGCCGGUGAUAUACCGGAGGAAGGUGGGGAUGACGUCAAGUCCUCAUGGCCCUUAUGACCAGGGCUUCACACGUCAUACAAUGGUUGGUACAGAGGGUAGCGAAGCCGCGAGGUGAAGCCAAUCUCAGAAAGCCAAUCGUAGUCCGGAUUGCACUCUGCAACUCGAGUGCAUGAAGUCGGAAUCGCUAGUAAUCGCAGGUCAGCAUACUGCGGUGAAUACGUUCCCG
rnacentral:rRNA from 1 species